UUAAAUGAAAACUUUUCGCAUUUGCCGCCUUUAUUGAAAUUAUAAUUAAAGGAGAAUUCUGAAUUAUACAUACAAACGAUGUGGGUAAUAGACCCCUAUCGCUUCCCAUAAAUCAGAAACAAUUUCAAUAAAGAAAUAGCAUCCAGAAUCGAACCAUUUCCAAUUGCAAAUCGUAAACGGUAAGGCAAUUAAACAUCUUAUAUCCAUGUUGUAUACCUACACCAGAAACUAAACAUCAAUCAAAUGCAAAUUAGGUAAGAAAAACAAUUUCAGUCAACAAAAAUCGCCAACAGCUCAUCAAACACAGUUUCCGAAAACAUUACAGACACACACAGGGAAAGAGAGGAAGAGAUACACAACAAUUAAGUAAAUU